AUUGAACGCUGGCGGCAUGCCUUACACAUGCAAGUCGAACGGCAGCACGGGUGCUUGCACCUGGUGGCGAGUGGCGAACGGGUGAGUAAUACAUCGGAACAUGUCCUGUAGUGGGGGAUAGCCCGGCGAAAGCCGGAUUAAUACCGCAUACGAUCUACGGAUGAAAGCGGGGGACCUUCGGGCCUCGCGCUAUAGGGUUGGCCGAUGGCUGAUUAGCUAGUUGGUGGGGUAAAGGCCUACCAAGGCGACGAUCAGUAGCUGGUCUGAGAGGACGACCAGCCACACUGGGACUGAGACACGGCCCAGACUCCUACGGGAGGCAGCAGUGGGGAAUUUUGGACAAUGGGCGAAAGCCUGAUCCAGCAAGGCCGCGUGUGGGAAGAAGGCCUUCGGGUUGUAAAGCACUUUUGUCCGGAAAGAAAUCCUUGGCCCUAAUACGGUCGGGGGAUGACGGUACCGGAAGAAUAAGCACCGGCUAACUACGUGC
rnacentral:rRNA from 1 species